GGCCUUCGGGUUGUAAACUGCUUUUGUACGGAACGAAAAGGCCCUGGUGAACAACCGGGGUUGCUGACGGUACCGUAAGAAUAAGCACCGGCUAACUACGUGCCAGCAGCCGCGGUAAUACGUAGGGUGCGAGCGUUAAUCGGAAUUACUGGGCGUAAAACGUGCGCAGGCGGACAUGCAAGACAGAUGUGAAAUCCCCGGGCUCAACCUGGGAACUGCAUAUGUGACUGUAUGACUGGAGUACGGCAGAGGGGGAUGGAAUUCCGCGUGUAGCAGUGAAAUGCGUAGAUAUGCGGAGGAACACCGAUGGCGAAGGCAAUCCCCUGGGCCAGUACUGACGCUCAUGCACGAAAGCGUGGGGAGCAAACAGGAUUAGAUACCCUGGUAGUCC
rnacentral:rRNA from 1 species